GGGGGAGGUCAGGGUGGGGGAGGAGGGCAGAGAGCAUCCCAGGAAUCAAAGCUGCUGUUCUUGUUUCCCCUGACUGACUUGACCCACACUGCCUUGCCUGCCAAUGAGAAAGCCAUCCCCACCCAGCCUCUCUCGGCGAGCACCUCCCGCGGCUCUCUGGGUGAAGCUGGAGCUGUGGGUGCAGCAUCUCACCUAGGCCCCAGCAGCACCGGUGAGCCAACUCCUCACUGGUGAGUGUGCAGGGCCCCAGCCCCUGCUCCUAAAGCUUUGGUCAGAAGGAAUGUGGGAAAUCGCCUGAUGGAGCCCAGCACCUUACAGAUGAGAGAGGAUGGAGGACCAAGUGUGAGCAAAGUUCAGUGGUGAGUGGACCAAAGAGGGAGGCGGGGCGGCCGAGAGGAGGCAGAGUCCUAACCGCUGCCGUGCAGGCUGGACUGAAGGUGCAGCAACAGAGAUCCAAAAUUGCAAAUGACCAAGACCAACCAAAGGAAACCCAUCUGUCCCGGAUGACACCCUGAGGCAGUUGGCUGAGACACACAUUUUGGCAAGUCCAUUCUGGAUAAAGUCGUUGCUUCUCUUGAGAUGCAAGAAACUAGUGCUAUCUUGCAUAUGGGUAACUCAGAUGAAUUAGCCUGAACAAAGGGCUUUCCAGGCAGAGAGGGCAGCAGGUGCAAAGGCCCUGAGGCUGGACCAUGGGUGGCAAGUGGAAGGAAAAGCAUGUGUGGUUGGAGUCCAUGAGGCAG
rnacentral:lncRNA from 1 species